AUUGAACGCUGGCGGCAGGCCUAACACAUGCAAGUCGAACGGUAACAGGAAGCAGCUUGCUGCUUUGCUGACGAGUGGCGGGCGGGUGAGUAAUGUCUGGGCAACUGGCCGAUGGAGGGGGAUAACUACUGGAAACGGUAGAUAAUACCGCAUAACGUCGCAAGACCAAAGUGGGGGACCUUAGGGCAUCUGGCCCACGGAUGUGCCCAUAUGGGAUUAGCUAGUAGGUGGGGUAACGGCUCACCUAGGCGGCGAUCCCUAGAUGGUCUGAGAGGAUGACCAGCCACACUGGAACUGAGACACGGUCCAGACUCCUACGGGAGGCAGCAGUGGGGGAUAUUGCACAGUGGGCGAAAGCCUGAUGCAGCCAUGCCGCGAGUAUGAAGAAGGCCCUCGGGUUGUAAAGUACUUUCAGCGGGGAGGAAGGGAGUAAAGUUAAUACCUUUGCUCAUGGACGUUACCCGCAGAAGAAGCACCGGCUAACUCCGU
rnacentral:rRNA from 1 species